GAUGAACGCUGGCGGCGUGCCUAAUACAUGCAAGUCGAGCGAACAGAUGAGGAGCUUGCUCCUCUGACGUUAGCGGCGGACGGGUGAGUAACACGUGGAUAACCUACCUAUAAGACUGGGAUAACUUCGGGAAACCGGAGCUAAUACCGGAUAAUAUAUUGAACCGCAUGGUUCAAUAGUGACAGACGGUUUUGCUGUCACUUAUAGAUGGAUCCGCGCCGCAUUAGCUAGUUGGUAAGGUAACGGCUUACCAAGGCAACGAUGCGUAGCCGACCUGAGAGGGUGAUCGGCCACACUGGAACAGAGACAGGGUCCAGACUCCGACGGGAGGCCGCAGUAGGGAAUCUUCCGCAAGGGGCGAAAGCCUGACGGUGCAACGCCGCGUGAGUGAUGAAGGUCUUCGGAUCGUAAAACGCUGUUAUUAGGGAAGAACAAAUGUGUAAGUAACUAUGCACGUCUUGACGGUACCGAAUCAGAAAGCCACGGCUAACUACGUG
rnacentral:rRNA from 1 species